rnacentral:rRNA from 1 species
GACGAACGCUGGCGGCGUGCCUAAUACAUGCAAGUAGGACGCAGUUGCGAACGGGUGAGUAACGCGUAGGUAACUACCUAUUAGAGGGGGAUAACUCUUGGAAACGAUAGAUAAUACCGCAUACUAGUAGAUGGACAGGCGUUGUAUUAGCUAGUAGGUAGGGUAAUGGCCUACCUAGGCAACCAUACAUAGCCGACCUUAGCGCGUGUUCGGCCACACUUGUACUUAGACUCUGCCCAGACUCCUACGGGCGGCAGCAGUAGGGAGUCUUCGGCAAUGGGGGGAACCCUGACCGAUCAACGCCGCGUGAGUGAAGAAGGUUUUCGGAUCGUAAUGCUCUGUUGUUAAGGAAGCGGUACUUAACCAGAAAGGGACGGCUAACUACGUGCCAGCAGCCGCGGUAAUAC